UAGAUAGACAUCUAUCUAUCUAUUAUUAUAAAAGAGUGUUUGUCUCACUCUUGAGUAUGCCACGUAGGCGUUCAUGUCACAAAGUCGCGUUCUGUGAAGCCAACACGUGUCCCGUGUAUCAAAGUGCCGUGUUUCAUUUAACUGGAGGGUGUAAUGGAUUUGGGCCUAGGUUUGUAUACAUGUUUUACGUAUCCCACACCGAAUAAAGCAAUUCUUAAUGUAGUUAAACGCGACGUAUUUGAUUUAGGUUUGAACACUUUCUUAUCUCCGCCGUACGAGAGAGCGUUGUUUCAUCUUCUUCCUAAAAAUCUUCAUUCCUCACAAUUCUGAAUAGCUAUUGCAACUUCUUCAUUAAAAUCUUUAUUUUACAAGACAGUUUGUGUCCGCUCGAUUUCUACUCCGGCCACCUUGAAACAGUCAAAGUUUGAUGAGGAAUAGGAAAGGCAGAGGAAAUUGCUAGAACAAUUCAGCGUUGAUGUUUUUCGCGAGGAAGCUUUGCGCAUCUACAGAUUUGCAGAAACAACGAGAAAAAGGUAUUUAAUCUUACGUAUGUGAAAUCCCAUGAAGUUGUUAGGCGUGUUUGAAGACGUUUGCAGCGAAAGGAGAUGAAUGGGCAAGAGAAUGCAGAUAAAGGAUGGGGAUCAUGUGGCAGGUGGUGAUUGUACUCAAAGAAUGGCAUGAUGCAUUUGAUAUGCCCAACUUGGCUCUGUAAUCUCUAAAAAAUCCCUCGGACCCAAUUAACUCACUAAUCACCCAUCAGUUCUUCCCGGAUAUGGAAUCUGGCGUCGACGACAACUGUGUUAGAGAUGGUCGUGGUGGUGCCGGCUUGGGCUUUCCUGAGAUCUCACAGGUUUGGUCUAAAGUUUGUCAGUCGGAUGGAAUGACCGAAUCGUCGGGGGUAAAGUCGCCGCUGUGGUGGAGCGAAUGAAUAAUUGCCGGUGUUGACCACGUUCAAGAAGUUCUCAGUAUAGAGAGAUAAGGAGUAGCCAGUUUUUCUGCUCUUGAUAAAUAUGAGAAUGGUAAGCAACUGGGAAGCUUAAUUUCGACAGACAGUCAAUGAUGCAAGCACAGAUAAGCACAGGUCAAUGAUGGUGGUGCUAGGAAUUCAAAACCAAAAAAUGGUUUUUGUAAUUAUGUUUGAUUGUUUGCUUUAUUCAGAAAAAUUCUAAAACAAAGCUUCUCCAUUUCAUGCUUUUGCUUCAGUUGGCUGGGUCAAGAUUUCAAGAUUGGAAAUUUUUCCAAGUGCAAGUUAUCAAUGUUUUUGGCAAGUAUGAUAUUGUAAGUGGGUUCAUCUUGAAUCAAAUGCACUGAACCUGGCACUAUAAUUUUGUUGGAAGGAUUCUCAGGCCAUGUGGAAACCUUCUAAAAAGAGUUUGGCUAGCAACACACUGCUGGGUGUUUAUUAGAGGAUUAGCUUUGGAGAAGGACGAACGGGGAAUGAUGCAAAAGAGGUUUUGGUUCAUCAAAUGGCGUCUUUGUUUGCUAAAGAUUCAAAGUUUGUUGUUGCUCUUGCGGCUGCUACUGGGAGUUGAUGGAGCGGUGUAGAACAUGAAGCUUUCAUUGGAUGUUUUUGUUUUGGUUUCUCAUCCAUCGAAACAGGAUGGCUUUUUCUACUCUAUCAAAUUUUAGAUGUUACUUGGAAAAAUAUGAAAACUGAAGUGAAAAUCAUAAGCAUUCAAGGAAAUUUAAAUGCCAUUUGUUUUAAGUGAUUAGAAGAAGGUUGAUUCAGUUGAAUCAAUUAAGGAAAAGAUUUGUGAAAAUAUGGUCAUCGCUUGGAAGCAAGACAUCCUUAUCAAACAUUCUAUAAUAAUACAAUUAUCUGUUAUCCCCAUUCUUCUAUACAAUUUUUUUAAAGAAAACCAGUGAUCUCAAAUAUUUUUAUUAUAUUUCAAACAAGGACUGUGACAAAACAGUAACCCUAAAGAUGAUAUCUACACGAGUACACAUACUGGCACAUAGCUAUCUCAUGACUUUAGUUACACUUCUAACAAAACCAACAGCUUUAGUCACUGCAGGUAGCGCUAGAAAUAGUAGGUCAAGUAAUUGAAAAUAAGUUACAUGUCCUCUUAAGAAAUCUAUUCAGUUUCGCAACAAGACUCCAAAAUACGUUCUCUAAAUGUAAUCACAAUAUCAAACUGGAUCUCGGCUUUUUUAAAGGAAAGAACAACAACGACAAGCUCAAUGGAGACAUGAUGGUAUAUAACAUUCAAAAAACAAGCAAAUAGCUAUGAAAGAUAUAUACAAAUUAAAACAAAAGAUAUGCCAUUGCUAUAAGAACAUGUAAAAACACAAACAACCAAAAUAAUUCAAUAAAUGAAUGUAUCUUGAUCCAAAAUUAUAGCACACAAUACAUUUUAAACUAAUACAUAUGUUGUAUUAUGUUUUUUUCUGUUCCAUAAUAAAUUUAUAGUAAAAUUUUAAAAUAAAAUAAUAGCUUACUCGGUAUAACAAAUGAAACAAUACAUGAGGUAAUAGAAUAAGUAAAACCGCCACUAACUAUACGCUGAAACUGAAUAAUAUUCUAAUUGAUAUUGAUUGUAUAGUACAUUUAGUAAAUCUGUUAAUACAAUCUACCGAAAUUUAGGCAAGAUAAUUUCACGGUCAAACUAUUAUUUAUUUUUCUUAUUAACUAAAAAAAUAUUUAAAAGAAACUAUAUAAAAUAAUCUAAAAUUCGCAGAAUUCUAAAUUUUUCUUAUUUGCUCAACCAUUUUAUAUAUAAAAUAAUUAAUGUUUUGAGUAUUAAACCUGACCAUAACAAUAAAACACAAAUCUACUUACUAUAUAUAUAAAAUGUGAGCAAACAUUUAAUAAAAUGUAUACCACUUCAAUCAUGAAAAUCGUGUCAUGCUCAUACAAACUUAUAAUCUCUAUCAAAAAUAAUAAAAAAUAAAGAAUUUUAGAUAUACAUAUUCGAAGAUGAUAUAAAAAUGUUUUCUCAUUACAAAAAUAAAAUAAAAGAAAAGAUAAUUACUAAAAUAGUAUUAUGUCAUAAAAUAUAUAUGACAACAAAUAAUAAAAAUAAAAACAAGUUAGAAAAAUAAACGAACAUCGAACGUUUAAGUAAAAUGAAUAUAAUAUUCUUCAUCACUUAAAAUUUUCUAAAACACAAAAAUCAUUAUUAUACAUAUCUCUUGCGAAUAGAAACCUAAAACACAAACCAUAAAAUCAUACAAAAAUAAAACUUAGAUGACAAGUAAAGUAUAUCCCGCCCGUAGGGCGGGCCUACCCUAGUGAUUUAUAUUUGGAUCUUAAUCAUACAUUUAUUAUAUUUAGAAUAAAUGCAAAUUGGUGUAAUUUUGAUGAGAAUGUAAUUUUGCGGUUUUGGCAAAAUAUGAUUCUGCGACUUCGGCAGGAAAAAUUAAUUUUGCUGGAAAAUCUUUUUAUGGUUUUAGCUGAAAAGAUAAUUUUACAGUUUUAGCUGAAAAGAUGAUUUUACGGUUUUAACGGUAAAAUGUGAAUUUAUGUUUUGGCAGAAAAGUGAUAUUGCAGUUUUAGUGGGAAAAUAUGAUUCAGGGAUUUUAGUAGGAAAUUUUGUUUUACGGUUUGAUCGGAAAAUAUGAUACUCAAUUUUGGCAGAAAAAAGUGAUUUUGUGUUAUUAUAGCGGUAAAGUAGAUUUUGCGGGUUUUGUAGGAGAAGAUGAUUUUACGGUUUUGACGAGAAAAUGUGAUUCCACAAUUUUGACUGAAAAGUGAUUUAGCGAUUUGUGAUUUUGAUGAGAAAAUGUUCUGAUAUUUUGGCAAAAAGUGAUUAUACGGUUAUGGCGGAAAAAUAUUAUUUCAAGACUUUGCUGGAAAAGUGAUUUUAUUAAAUUUUAAAAUCACAUUUUACGGUUUUGGCGGUAAAAUGUGAUUUGUGAUUUUGGCGGAAAAGUAAUUUUGCAAUUUUUGUGGGAAAAUGUAAUUCAGUGAUUUUGGUGGGACAAUUUUAUUUUACAGCUUUAACAGAAAGGUGUGUGUUUUAGCGGGAAAUGAAUUUUGCGAUUUUGACAGCAAAAAAUAUAAUUUUACGAUUUUAUGGAGAAAAUGUGAUACCACGAUUUUGACUAAAAAGUAAUUUUGCGGUUUUGACAAUAAAAUGUGAUUCUGGAUUUGACGGAAAAGCUAUUUUACGGUUUUGGCCAAAAAUGUGAUUUCACGACUUUGGCAGAAAAGUGAUUUUUCUGGGAAAAUGUGUCUACGAUUUUUGUGGGAAUUUUUUUUUGUGUGGUUUUAAAAGGAAAAUGUGGUUCUGCGACUCCGGCUGAAAAAGUGAUUUGCGAUUUUAGCAAAUGAUUUUGAGGUUUUAAUGGCAAAAAUGAUUUUGUGAUUUUGGUGGGAAUUGUUUUUUUUUUAUUUUGGUGGGAAAAUGUGAUUCCGUGACAUUGGUGGGAAAAACUUAAUUUUGUGGUUUUGACAAAAAUGUGAUUCCACAAUUUUCGUGGAGAAAGUGUUUUUUUUUUUUGUGUUUUUGACUAGUCCUAGGAAUUUGGGUUUUCGUUUCAGGUUGGUUCGGUUUAUUCGGUUUUCGGCAUAUUCGGGUUGGGAUGUUUAGGAACCAUUUAAGAACCAGACAUUUUUCAGAUUGGUUCGGUUCGAGUAAUGUCGGAUUUGGGACAGGUUUCUAUUUUUCUUAUAAAACCCGAACUGGAACCGUAUUAUAAAUAAAUCAGGUUUGGUUCGGGUUUAAAGUCCAAAAAUUUAAAAAAAUCCCGAAAAUCCGAGUUAAACCCGGAAAACACCCAAAAAUAUUAGGGUAAUUCGGAUAGUUCGGAUUCUUUUGAAUAUUUCUUAUUUAUAAAUUAUAUUUUGUAUAUACUAAAAUUAAAAAAAAAUUAUAUUUUUAAUAUAUUCAAAAAAUUAGGGUAGCCGUUCAAUUCUCGGUUCGGUUCCGGUUUGGUUUCGGUUUUGUUUUCAUUUUUCAGGUUUUGAAAUAUAGGAACCGUUUGGGUUUUGUAAUUUUCGGUCCGGUUUCAGUCUUGGUUUUUAUGGUUCGUUUUGGUUUGGUUUUCGGGUUUCAGAUAAUAUGGCCAGGAUUAUUUUUGACAUAAAAUAUAGUUUUACAUAAAAUAUUUCUUUAGUUUUAAAAUAUGUAAUUACAUGAUAUUUGGAUGUGGAGCAGAAUAUGACACUAUUAACCAUGCACUUUUUAAUUCUCGCCGGCUUUACAAAGGUCUCUAGCAGUAACCGGUCUCCACCUUUGAUUUUUUUGGCGUAAGUCAUUACACAAAUAUAUAUUAUCUAUUCCCGGAAAAAUUAUACUGAAGACCUUGAAUGGAUAAAGGUCCAUACUAUUGGAUUAUAUAGUAUAUCUCGAAAGCAAGAAAUGAUAAACUAUUCAUAGGGAUAGACAAAGACCUGUUGGAAACUGUUAGACAUGCGGAAUCAUAAUUUAUUGCUUGGUUCAAUGCUAA